rnacentral:rRNA from 1 species
UACGUAGGAUGCAGGCGUUGUCCGGAAUUAUCGGGCGUAAAGAGCGCGCAGGCGGCCUAUCAAGUCAGAUGUGAAAUAACCAGGCUUAACCUGGUGGGGUCAUUUGAAACUGGUAGGCUAGAGUACAGCAGAGGAUAGCGGAAUUCCCGGUGUAGUGGUGAAAUGCGUAGAUAUCGGGAGGAACACCAGUGGCGAAGGCGGCUAUCUGGGCUGCAACUGACGCUGAGGCGCGAAGGCUAGGGGAGCAAACAGG